rnacentral:rRNA from 1 species
AGUCGGAAGUACCCAAAGUCGCUUGGCUAACUUUUAGAGGCCGGUGCCUAAGGUAAAAUCGAUGACUGGGAUUAAGUCGUAACAAGGUAGCCGUAGGAGAACCUGCGGCUGGAUCACCUCCUUUCUAAGGA